UGAUGUUAGGAAUGUGUUUUCCUCACUUUGGUAGCUCUGAUAUGAUAUGCUCAUCAAAACAUCAAUUUCUUUGUUGUGUCAGUGACUUUUAAAAGAGGACAAAAUUGGAACUGAUUCAGCACAUCAUAAUGGUGUUGAUGAUAGUGAUAAAAGAGAUCCAGUGACGCUCUUCUCCUUGACUUUUACUGGCAGAGUUCUCAGUACCUAAGCAAUUGAAAAAUAUGGAUGCAGGUGAUGGAAAAUCAUAGGAUCCAGAGUUUGGUUCUCUAAGUGAAGGGAACUUUCUUCUUUGAUUGGUGGAGCUAUCUUCCAAAAAGUGUGACAAAUACAAACCACAGUGUGGCUUUUUUCUCUCUCUCCCAAUGGCUUGCUUCAGAUGUGGUCCAGACGCAGAACUAUGCAACACAGCCAGUCAAUAUAGCUCUAGCUCUCUUUCUAAAGGAAAAUAAAGGGGACCUCCAGGAAACAAUAAAGUACCAAGGAGAGCUUUUAGAGGGAUAGCCUCGGGCAAUAAAUACCAUUAAGUUUUCUAUAAACUCUUGGAUGGAGCCCCAAGCUGCACAUGAGUAGAUCUGAUUCUUAUCAGCAAGUUCAAGAUAUAAUAAUCCUAAAUAUGAAUGCAUAUAUUUGCUUCAAAAUAUGUGAAGCAAAAACUACCAGAAUUAAGAGGAGAAAUAGACCAACCUUCAAUCAUAGAUGGAGAAAUCACCACUCCUUUCAGUUACCUAUAGAAUCAAUGGGUAGAAAAUCAAGAAGGCAACAGAAGAAAUGAACAUAGCCUUCACUACCUGAAACUAAUUGAUGUUUAAAGACUAAUACCCAACCACCAUGGAAUAUUCAUUCUUUUCAAGUGCACAAGACAGUCUCCAAAAAGAUCAUCUUCUGUAUCAAGAACAAGCCAUAACAAUGUUUUUAAAUCAAAACAUAUAUCUUUGACCAUAAUGAAAUUAAACUAGAAAAUAACAAAAAUAACAGGAAAAUAGUCAAUAAUUUGGAUUAAUCAACACACUUCUACAUAACCCAUAUAGUUAAAGAGAAAAAAUACUCAAGGGAAAUAAUAAAGUAUUUUGAACUGAACAAAAAUCGAAAUUAACACAAAAUUUGUGGAAUGCAAGUAAAGCAAUGCAUAGAGGGAAAUUUGUAAAAUUUAAUGUUUAUAUCAGAAGAGAUUUCAAAUCCAUAAUCUAAGCUUCUACUUAGAAUAAAGGAGAAAGUGGAGAACCAAAUUAAUCCAGAUUAGCAGAAAGAGGAAAUAAUAAAGAAAGAAGUCAAUGAAAUUUAAAACAGACUUUCAUUAGUGAAAAACAAUGAAACCAAAAGCUGCUUCUUUGGAAAGAUCUAUAGAACUGAUAAUCCUUUAGCAAUAUUAACAAAAAAAGGAGAAAAUGAAAUUACCAGCAUCAGUAUUGAAAGAAGGAAUGUCACAAAAGACUGUGAAGAGAAAGUUUAACAAUGGAAUGUGUACAACUAUAGCCACAUACAUAUGGCAACUCAGAUGAAAUGGGACCACUUAUUGUCAAGCAUAAUAGAAUAAGACCCAACAGAACAAAAGAGAAAAUUCUACAGCUAUUAAAUUUAAUUUAUAAACUCUUCCAAAAAAGAAAUUACCAGCUCAGAUGAUUUCACUGGUAAAAUUAACCAACUACUUAAAGAAAACAUUAUUUCUAUACAUCAUUAUUCUUAAAGGGAAAUAUGAAUUAUGACCAUUAUGAGCUAUCUACAUAUUAUUAGAAUAGAUAAAAAAUACUAACCAUACCAAAUACUUGAAAGUAUGCUGAGCAAACAGAUUUAUCAACCAUUACUGAAGAGAACACAAAUUGGGAUAGUCACUGUAGAGAACAGUUUGGUAGUUGCUUAAAUGUACAUUUGCUAUAUGACUCAGUAAUGUCACUGUCAUCUAAUCCAGAAAAGUAAAAACUUAUGAUGACCCAAAAACAGUACAUAAAUGUCUAGAGCAAAUCUACCCAUAAUUACACCAAACUCAGCAAUUACAAACAAUAACAAAAUGCAACAAAGUGUUGAUACAUGCAAUAACUUGAACCAAUCUAUAAGACAUAAUGCUGAUUGGAAAAAGUCCAUCUCAGAUGUUUAUAUGAUAUAUUGUUAUGUUUUGAGUUGAUUUAUAUGACAUUUGCCAAUAGCUAAACUAUAAUGAUAGAGAAUCUAUCAGUAGGGUAUGUGUGGGGCAGUGUGUGACCAUAAUUGUAUGAUUCAAGGUAGUUUUUUGGAGUUAUGGGGCAGUUUAGUGUCCUGAUUUUGGAGUUGUGACAAAAAAGAGUGAAGUUUCUUAAAAUUAUUUUAGAGCUACUCUAGAUUUAUCAGUACUUAGCUUACAAAUUAAAGAUGUUAACUUUCUGUUACUUCACCUAAGCAGAUGCAUAUCAGAUCAUUGUAGAAAUAUGUGCAGGUAAAUCUCAAAAUUGAUAUUUGAAGAAUCAUACCAGUAUUUGAUCAGUCCUAGAGAAAGAGGAUUCUGGAUCUGUCUCUCUCAAUGUCUGUCUUCCCAUAUCCUGAUUUAUCAGCCUAAAGCCAAAUUUUAAAAGCAGUAUUACAUUUUACAAUUUGAUUCUCCCUCUUUUGUAGCCUGGGACUGCUCCUUAGCAAGGUCAUACAGCCUAUCAUAUGAUCUUCUUUCAAAGGGAGGCAUGCUAAAUAAAGAUCAUUUAAAGAGAAGGUUGGUGCAUGAAAGAACUGCAAAAAUGUGAGCUUUGUUCCUAUAAUAGGGUUUAUUUUACUUUGCAUUAUAUUAUUACUCAAUUAUAUUAAGGUGAAAUUUCUCAUCUAAGUUUUAAUUCUUAUCUUAUUUUAAUUAAUUUGAGCACAGAAAUUAUGUACAAUUAUAUGCCCUGUAGAUAGCAAUAAAUGUGUUGAAAGUAAGUGAAGGUGAGAUUUUCUUUCUGAAGUAGCUGAGGUAACUCAGUGUUUCUUAUUUUGAGAUCUCUGUAAUAUGGGAAUUUUCAACAUGGGGGUUUGUACAGUUUUCAUUUUAUUCAAGAAUAGAAGUCAAAAACAUCAGUUGAAUUGCUCAUUUUUAUUAAUAUCAUAGCAAGGAAUGAUGAAGUAAAUAAAAAUUCCAGUCUGGUUCUUUGAUGUGGGGCUAAUUUUUGUUAUUUUACCAUCUCAAAGAAAUAAAAGUAUGUAAUUAAUGUACCAAGAGGAAAAAAAUAAAAAUGGCAGACUGUUUAUAUUAUUA